rnacentral:rRNA from 1 species
CAACUUUCAACAACGGAUCUCUUGGCUCUCGCAUCGAUGAAGAACGCAGCGAAAUGCGAUAAGUAAUGUGAAUUGCAGAUUUUCAGUGAAUCAUCAAAUCUUUGAACGCACCUUGCGCCCCUUGGUAUUCCGAGGGGCAUGCCUGUUUGAGUGUCAUUA